GUAAUUGAGGCCAAUAUCAUUCACCCGCUUGUACAUCUUCUCCAACAUUCAGAGUUCGAUAUAAAAAAGGAGGCUGCAUGGGCCAUCUCUAAUCCCACUUCCGGUGGCUCUCAUGAACAAAUCCAAUUUCUUGUUAGCCAAGGUUGCAUCGGCCCACUCUGUGAUCUCCUAAACUGUCCAGACGCAAGGAUUGUAACUG